UCCAUUCUCAGCAGUCGCCUUUUCCUAGGCACAAGAGAUAACUUGGCUGGAACUCCCUGCAGACGGCUCGGCCCGCGUGCAGGCUGCAGCAGCGCACAGCCUCCUCCAGGGCGGCCGCGGCCGCGCAGCCAGGAGGUCCAACCCGGUGUGGCAGUGCGCGGAGGUGCAGGGAACCCAGUGAACCCGCGCCGGAGUCCGAACAUGAUCGAGUGGUAACCUGGAACUGCCUAUCGUUUAUGCAUCUCUGAUACACCACGGUUCUGAGCCUCCUACCUAUGGAGAUGGAAGUUGCUAAGAUGUGUGGGAGAUGCAGCCGUCACCAUUUUCAGGAAAUCCUUCCAAGAGCCUAAGACCGCCUGAGGGACACACUGGUGAACACCUCUGUUUUCCAAAGAGAAAGUCAUUCUUACCUGUGUCCUGAUUGUUAGUUAGGACACAUGGGUCAGGUUUUUAUGGCAGCAAAAACCUUGGAAGAUGCUCAAAGGCCAUGGAAUACAUCCAUAGCCCCACCUGCCUGGGCUUAUACUGGGAAUGUGGAAAUGCUGGCUCCUGGACCCUCCUGCACCCAGAGCCCUGCAGAAUUAUUUCUCCUCCUGGAUUGCAGUCUCAAGGUCAGGUCUGCACCCUGAAGUUGAUGAGGACAUUCACUUUGUUUUAUGAGCACUCUCAGGAGAAAUGUGACCUACUUGACGAAUGGGAAGCUGGCUCUUCUCAGCAUGAGACUUUUUUUUAUCUUAAGGAUACUUUGAACUGAUGAAGAAACUGAAGCAUCAGUGGGUCCAGCCACUUGCUCAGAGUGUUCAGUGAACAAGAGAAGGAGUCAGGAUUUGGGCCUCUGUGCAGAUCAACCAGAAGGAAGGACUUGUAUGGAUGGUGGUAA